UCUUUAAUUUUGCCUUUGUUUUUGCCUAGAUGUUAUGCCGCUUUCAUAGGCUGCAGCUGUCACCUCCUGCCUGAGGAACAUCUCCAGGGACUACAACCAAGCCCUAUGCUAGCCAAGCUGGAUCACGAACAAACAUCACUGACAGACAACAGUGGAACAAAUCUACCUCUGACUGCUGAUGGAGACAGCAUACUGCUCAGACCCAGCAAAACAUUUUCUAUUCUGUGUGAAUUUGACUUGGUACAAAGAAGAGAAGUGGUCAACGUAAGACUGUCUUCGAAGGUGGUUUCUUUCUUCUCCAGUCCUUGCAGACAUCUAUUCUGCUCUCAGUAUUAAUUAGAGUAGCCUGAAGGUAUACACAACUGAAGCAGAAAAUGACUGACUGUUUCAGCAACUGCAGGUAGUCCAAAUCUCUACCUUACUGGAGUAUGUCCUGCUCCAUGCCAUGGCAAGACCCUCUGGGAGAGGRAUUCUGAAUAGUGGGUCCUUCAGAAGAAGGGGUCACCACUCAUGAACAAAUGUUUUCAGCUGUCUCCUUUUUGGGAAAAGAUUCAUCCAUCUCCUCAGGCUGUGGAUGUCUAGUGGGGAGAUGGAUCUUGAACCCUCCCCUUGGGGCAAAUCACAGCAUGGCAGCUGAAUAAGAAGAAGCAGGCUCUGCAUUUGAAAGGCAAGGGUUUGAAAUGAAGGCCCAAUUCAAUCUCUGAGGUAAACCUGCUAUUCUUGAGGACUCCACAAUUAUUUGAGCAGUUAUGUACAUGUCUGCAGUUCUUUGGGGGUUUUCUUUUUGGUCAACUUAGAACAGGUAACCUAUGUCCAUAACCUGUGUCCCUGCCUAUGCUGCAGGAAAGAACAGCUGCUCUGCCAUAUUUGACUUGCAUGAAGUCAGCACAGAGUGAGCUGGAGCAAUAAUCACAAUCCUUAACCAGUUUGGGUUAGACAAGAUGAGCAUUGACUAAAGAUUUAUCUACUUUACUGGAAAGUCACCUGGAGGGCUUGCAAAUGGAGAGGGGACUGUAACUGAAUCCCUCUGUUAGGACAAACAUAGCUUGACAUUGCUACUGUGGGAGUAGCCAUCACGGUGGGGAGAUUGGUGUUAAGACCUCACCAGAAGCCUAACUGCAGUGUGUAUCUUUAUUACAUUUAGAAGCUUCUGACAAGGCUUGUUCAUGCUGUCAUUUUUCCUUGCUUCCAAGAAAUGGCUGUGUCCAUGAGCUCAACAUGAGCCUGAGGUAACACAGACUAUUAGCUGCUGAAUACUAAAGGUUCCUUAAGGAAUCACAAUACAGAGGUCUAAUGAUGACCGAAGGUUUUGUGUUUUAUUUUUUCUGUGUGUUUU
rnacentral:lncRNA from 1 species